UGAAAGGAUUCAAAGUUGGUUGUAUUCAAUACCUGGGUCAGAUGUAAAUUACAAAAUUAAUGAAAAUGAUACCGAUUAUUUUCCUUGGACAGUGUUAUUUGGAAAACAUCUAGAAAGUCUGGAUGCUUCCAACGUGAGUGAAUAUGAAUUCUAUCAUGGGUCUCUUAUUCACCCACAAGCUGUUUUUAUUGGGACAACAACUCAACUACAAUUAGACAAUGGUGAUAGAGUUAUGGGCGGCUGUAAUUUUUUUGAAAUCAAAUUAGAUAUCCAAAAAUGCCAAACUAGAGAAGUCAGUGAUGUAAUUGUAGGAAAAUAUUAUAAUAAUAAAAACAAUGAGAUUUCAGACAGCAAUAAAAAAUUUGAAUAUGUAAAUAUUGUAAUUUUGAAUCAGCCAUUUGAAUUGAAUGAUAGAAUUGAACCAAUCAGAUUAGCAGAAAGCAAUGAUAUGAUAGAUAUAAAUAAUUGUUUUU